UACGUAGGGGGCGAGCGUUACCCGGAUUUACUGGGCGUAAAGCGCGUGUAGGCGGCUGGCCAAGCGUGGUGUGAAAUCUUCGGGCUUAACCCGAAAACUGCAUUGCGAACUGGUCUGGCUAGAGUGUGUGAGAGGGUAGUGGAAUUCCCGGUGUAGCGGUGAAAUGCGCAGAUAUCAGGAGGAACACCAAUAGCGAAGGCAGCUCGCUGGGACGGUACUGACGCUAAGGCGCGAAAGCGUGGGGAGCGAACAGG
rnacentral:rRNA from 1 species